AGAGUUUGAUCAUGGCUCAGAUUGAACGCUGGCGGAAUGCUUUACACAUGCAAGUCGAGCGGCAGCGCGGGGCAACCUGGCGGCGAGCGGCGAACGGGUGAGUAAUGCAUCGGAACAUGUCCAAUCGUGGGGGAUAGCCCGGCGAAAGCCGGAUUAAUACCGCAUACGCCCGAGAGGGGAAAGCGGGGGACCGCAAGGCCUCGCGCGAUUGGGUUGGCCGAUGUCCGAUUAGUCUUGUUGGUGACG
rnacentral:rRNA from 1 species